CCGAGGAUAAUUUUUAUUGACGAUUAGGUACCGAAAAUGAUUAAGUAGAUCCCUGAUUUCAAAUAAUUUUAUGUACAUUUUAAUUGUGAAACUAUACUCAGAAUAAACAUAAUGCUUGGUCUUUAUGCUUCUCCAGAAAGGUAUAAUUUCAAAUCCCAAUUUGAGGAAGAGUCACUGUUGUUCUAAGACUAAAGAGAAGUGUCAGAAUUUUUGGUACUGGUGCUACUGUAGUUUGUGCAGCAAGUGCUUAUGUUGCACAGCUUUAUUUUCAUUUAUUGGACAUAUAUGCGGCUGUGACGUAUUGUAUGGUGAACAACGAAAUCAGUUAUCGGAUAUUGUAACAGAUGAGCAACAAGAAUAAUAAAGGUUUUGGUGCAAGUGCUAUCGUUAUCACGGUUUGCUGCUUUUUGUCGUCUCCAACGGCACGGUUAAGUUAAUAUUGCACAGGAAAAUCGUAUUUAUAAAGAGUUGUUUUUUGAAAUUCGAUUACAAAACCUAAGCGAUGUGUUGUUGUCUUUGUCCCAACUGCGGCGGUAGCUGUUGCCGAAUAUUGAAAUGCAUCUGCUGCAUCACAUUAUGUGCUUUUUUGUGCCACAUGUGUGGACUGUGUGAAGAUUGGGAUCCCAGCGACGACGAUUGACUAUUGUGCUAUAAAAGUAAAUGAUUUGUUCGUGA